rnacentral:rRNA from 1 species
CUUGGUCAUUUAGAGGAAGUAAAAGUCGUAACAAGGUCUCCGUUGGUGAACCAGCAGAGGGAUCAUUACAGAGUUGCAAAACUCCCAACCCUUCGUGAACGAACCUACCAGUUGCCUCGGCGGCGAGCCUUUCAGGCGGACCGCCGAAGGAAUACAAACUCUUUGCAUUAUAGUAUCUCUGAUUACUUAUUCAAUAAGUUAAAACUUUCAACAACGGAUCUCUUGGUUCUGGCAUCGAUGAAGAACGCAGCGAAAUGCGAUAAGUAAUGUGAAUUGCAGAAUUCAGUGAAUCAUCGAAUCUUUGAACGCACAUUGCGCCCGCUAGUAUUCUGGCGGGCAUGCCUGUUCGAGCGUCAUUUCAACCAUCAAGCCCUAGGCUUGUGUUGGAGCCCUGCGGCUGCCGCAGCCUCCUAAAAACAGUGGCGGGCUCGCUAUUACACCGAGUGCAGUAGUUUACUCUUCGCUCAGGGCGUGUGGCGGGUGCUGGCCGUGAAACCCCCUACUUCUUAAGGUUGACCUCGGAUCAGGUAGGAAUACCCGCUGAACUUAAGCAUAUCAAUAAGCGGAGGA